CCUACGGGAGGCAGCAGUGAGGAAUAUUGCCCAAUGGACGAAAGUCUGAGGCAGCAACGCCGCGUGCGCGAUGAAGGCCUUCGGGUUGUAAAGCGCUUUUCUGGGGGACGAGGAAGGACGGUACCUCAGGAAUAAGUCACGGCUAACUACGUGCCAGCAGCCGCGGU
rnacentral:rRNA from 1 species